rnacentral:sRNA from 1 species
AUAGACUCCUAAAUGACUACGAUGUGGGGUGGGUCAUACAAGUGCUGGGUGCGCAUGGACGAUGAUGAUGAUGAUGAUGAUGUAUAGCCUAUAUAACCUAUGCUUUGUGGUGGCUUCACCUUGAGCUCCAGUAUUGAGAUUUUCCAUAUAGAUUUCUGGAGUCUCCAAGGACUUAUGUUCCUCACCUCUGUUCUCGAUGAAUAUAUUAAGCCUUCCAGGCACGACAGCGGCGGCCUCUAAAAGGCCACACUUUAGCCCCACCAUGAAUGGCCAUAUGUCGGGCCAGAAGUGGAUGCACAGUUCUGUGAGCUGACUCUUCUCAAGAGUUGCCAUCUGGAUCCUGUUUCUUUCCCACUGUGUAUAUAGAAAUCUCUCCAGCUUAGCACGUCCCUAUGCCC